rnacentral:rRNA from 1 species
GAUGAACGCUAGCGGCAGGCUUAACACAUGCAAGUCGAGGGGUAUUAGGAGCUUGCUCCUAAGAGACCGGCGCACGGGUGCGUAACGCGUAUGCAACCUACCUUGAACAGGGGGAUAGCCCAGAGAAAUUUGGAUUAAUACCCCAUGGUAUAUUAGAAUGGCAUCAUUUUAUUAUUAAAGUCACAACGGUUCAAGAUGGGCAUGCGUCCCAUUAGCUAGAUGGUAAGGUAACGGCUUACCAUGGCUACGAUGGGGAGGGGUCCUGAAAGGGAGAUCCCCGACACUGGGACUGAGACACGGACCAGACUCCCACGGGAUGCAGCAGUGAGGGAUAUUGGUCAAUGGGCGCAAGCCUGAACCAGCCAUGCCGCGUGCAGGAUGAAGCAUCUAUGGUGUGUAAACUGCUUUUAUACGGGAAGAAACCCUGCCACGUGUGGCAGAUUGACGGUACCGUAGGAAUAAGGAUCGGCUAACUCCGUGCCAGCCGCCGCAGUAA